rnacentral:lncRNA from 1 species
AUUUCUCACUCUCCCACUACUGAGUAUUUCUGGCAUUUACAGUAACUGCUGUUGCAAGAGAAAUGUUGAAAUCUUCAAUUUCACAAAAUUUUUCUAUAUAUGUGAUUUGAAAGUGAGACAGAGUAGAAAACCUAAAAAGAACUAGCUUGCAAGAUAGAUACAUCUGCCUUAGGCAGAAAUAUUAAGCCCCUAAAGAAUAUAUGAGUAAGAACAGAGACUUAAAUUGCAUUACUUUUGCUAGGUGGAGCCUUACAGCUGCCCCUGAAAAGCACUUGCUGCCUUCCAUCAAGAGGCAGAACAGAGAGAGAGAGAGAAUUUGGCUCUGUCGUAGUAAUGCAGGGUGAGGGAUGCAGGACAGAGGAGUGUGGCAGAAGCACUAGGAUGAUAAUUUUUGCACAGCUAGAAAUGCAGUGAGUAACCUAGUCUGUAAUUUAUACAAUUUGUGUCUUCUCCUUCUGUCAUUGGUUCUUUUUCUUUACAUCUCACCUUAAAGAUACUGUCUUUUGUAUGUAACCUGGGAUGCCACCAGCAUCCAGAAAAGCUGUGAUAUGGUCUGUACUUAAACAAGAAAAUGUCUUCAAAGCAGAAUGGGAAGUGAUGGACAGUUCAGAUUCUCAAAGAGACAAGACUUGCUUGGAUUUGUUCUACUUCACUUUUCUCUUCGUUGUCUGCAGAAAGAUCCUAGUGUGACUUGGAUGCUUGGAUGUAAAUGAAUAUCUUGCAGCAGUUACACAAAACUGAUGCGGUAACAACAACCCAGAGCCUGCUCUGCCAACAGCCCAUCUCCUUCUCCAAAGCUUCACCACCCAUGUGGGCCCUGACCUUUGACGUCUGCAGAUGGACCUCGCGCUCCUCAGCUCACACCUGUUGGUAGCCAGAGCCAACAAGAGUCAGGAGCAGCACCAGAAGAUCUCUUGGGAUAAGGAUGGUGAGCUGAAGGGCAAUGAAGUCAUACUUAGAGCACUGACAGGACCCUACCAAUCAGAUAUAGUGUUCCUUCUAAAAUCCUACCAGCUUUACAACUGUAGUAGCUCCAUGAUCAAGAAGAGCAGCUUGGAAAAUCUCUCCUCCAGAACAUACUUAUGAUUAGUAUCUGCAUUUUGCAUUGCCAGGUCUCCCAGCUUAUGCCACCAAUUGGCUACAGCCACCCAAAGGGCAGAGAUUGGAGGAGGCACUGUGGUGAAUUUUUAAUUUGUUGUGGAUACAGAAGACAAGAGUUGGAACUGCUGUUCUGGAGAAGAUCUGUUAGCCAGAGCCCAACUAGGAACCAGGGAAUUGGCUGAUGUAGUCACCAAGCCACUCCUGAUGAAAUUUGAAAAGUCGUGGUGGUCAGGUGAAGUCUCUGGUAACUGGAAAAAAAGGCAAUAUCACACUCAUUUUUAAGAAAGGUAGAAAGAAUGGCCCAGAUAUUUCCAUGUUGUUUUUUUUGUUUGUUUGUUUGUUUCUUUGUUUUAUACUGACUUCUUCCUUCAUUGGGAAUAAAUGUGAAUAAAUUUUCUCCACUCUGGGAAGAGACAUCACUAAAACCAUCUUCAGUGCAUAUGGCACAAGAAAUUCUUAUUCCAGUGAAGCCUCAAAGGACAUAAAGUUACCAUGCCCUGCUUCACACUGAAAAAUAGCCUGUGUUCGCUAAGGAGAAAUGAGCGUCUGGCUGAAGUAGCUGGACACCAAAACCUGGAGUUGGCCUCAGGGCCAUGAGCAUCUCCAGCAGUAGGGCAGGAGUGGAGGAGGGCACAGCAUUUCUCUGUUACUGCCCAAGUUCCAACAGCCCUAUCUCCCAUCCUACAGCAUCUUGGGGACUUCAUGUUUUGGGAUUUGUCAGUUCUAUUGUCUGUGCUACCUGUUAAGGAGUUAAAACGCUUUGCUUGUCCCUUUCUGUUGGCUAAUGCCAAUACUUUUUUUACAAACUGUAGUAAUAAAAACUAAACAAACACAAGCCUCUAUCUUCUACUUCUCUUUGUUUCAGUGGUGACUCAAAUGGAGUCAUGGCAGUAGCAGAAGCUACUGAAUUUUGGUAUAGAAUGCGAGAGGCUCUCUACGGUGUCAGUAACAGCAGUCUGAGUGAUUGCUGCUGGCAGUCUGGAUGAAAAGCUCUUCUACAGCGCUCCAAGCCAGUUCUCCAGCUGACACAGUUCAUCCGAUCUGCCUAGAACAGGGGCUAGUGCUGGGGAACGAGUGAGUUCCUGUUCCUGGAGGUAACGCAUCGCCUUAUACUUGUGCAAAAUGAGCAGAUCUUUGUGAUGAUUCACUACUUAGCAUUUCUACUAAGAGUGCUAAGAAGGCUCCACAUUUUUCAUUGUACAGAAAUAUUUAUCACAUGAACAUGAAAAAUCAGUGGAGCUAUAUCUGUAUGCAACAGCAUAGGAUCAAAUUCAUUUAACACAAUACUUUUAAGUUAAAGAGAGCAGUGAAAAUUAAGGAAAUAAAUUCAUUCAACAUGGCAAGAGAAGGUAAUAUUUCCUUAAUGUUGCAGAAGUGAAAUCAGAGAAGACUGCAGAGAGAUCUCAUUGUGACCUUCCAAUAUUUAAAGGGAGAUUAUAAACAUGAGGGAAAACAACUUUUUACAUGGCAGAUAGUGAUAGGACAAGGGGGAACAGUUUUUAAACUAAAAGAGGAAAGAUCUAAAUUAGACAUCAGGGGGAAGUUUUGUACUGAAGGAAUGGUGAGGUGCUGGAAGAGGCUGCCCAGAGAGGUUGUGGAUGCCCCAUCCCUGGAGGUGUUCAAGGCCAGGUUGGAUGAUGCCCUGGGCAGCCUGGUCUAGUACUUGAUUUAGCGCUUGGC